rnacentral:rRNA from 2 species
CGAUCCCAUCCCGAACUCGGAAGUGAAACGUAGCUGCGCCGAUGGUAGUGUGGCCUAAGCCAUGCGAGAGUAGGUCAUCGCCAGGG